CCUACGGGAGGCAGCAGUAAGGAAUAUUGGACAAUGCUCGCAAGAGUGAUCCAGCCAUGCCGCGUGCAGGAAGACGGCCCUAUGGGUUGUAAACUGCUUUUGAACUAGAGAAAACCCUCCUACGUGUAGGAGGCUGAUAGUAUAGUUAGAAUAAGCAUCGGCUAACUUCGUGCCAGCAGCCGCGGUAAGACGAAGGAUGCAAGCGUUAUCCGGAUUCAUUGGGUUUAAAGGGAGCGUAGGUGGACUGAUAAGUCAGUGGUGAAAUCUCUCGGCUUAACCGAGAAAUUGCCAUUGAUACUGUUGGUCUUGAGUACAGUUGCUGUGGGCGGAAUAUGACAUGUAGUGGUGAAAUACAUAGAGAUGUCAUAGAACACCGAUUGCGAAGGCAGCUCACAAAGCUGUAACUGACACUGAGNUCGAAGUAGCGGGAGUACAACAGAUAGAUACCUACGUAGUCGCACCGUAACGA
rnacentral:rRNA from 1 species